AUGUUUAUGGAUCACUACAUGUUCCAUUGGAAGUGGAACAAUGUUUGCUACUUAAUUCUCAAAGAAAUCGUGCUUUCGCAUCACCAUCCUGUGGAACCACGAGGCCUGAUCCAAUUAUUUCAGAGAACAUGUACUAUGUUUAUGGAUCACUACAUGUUCUGGUGGAACAAGGGUUUGCUAAGGUUCUAUUUUAAUCAUACGAUGAGCAUGGGGUCCACAACAUACUCACAUAGUUACAAAUCUGAAGCACUGGUUAGUUUGUUGGCUAGCAGUAUGAAUCAGAACUGGGUACUUUUAUCUGUUACGAAUAAUUUAAAUAUAUUUUUAGUGAUCUUGUGUGCUUUUAUAAAAAUCUGA
rnacentral:rRNA from 1 species